GUGUUCGUCCUUUUCAAGCAAAAGAAAAAGCACUCAAUUACUACUCCUUCUUCAAGGGAUCACUUCAACACAAGAAGUUUUUCAAUGCAAAAUGACCUUGGUGUCCCUGUUGCUGCUGCUUAUUUCAACGCAAGGAGGCCAACUGCUGCUAGAAAACCUACCUAUAUAUAAUAAUAUAUAAUAACAAUAAUAACAACUCUUGAAAUUACAAUUGUUCUUGUUACAAUUGUUCUUGUUAAUUAUCAUCAUGAUUAUUUAAUAUAAUAUUUCUUCAAAAUAUAGAUAAAAAAAAUAUUUGAAAAUUGAUAUAUUUAAAUUAAAUUUUAAAUUAAAUAUAUUAAUAUUUCAACUAUUAUUUUUAAUUAUAUUUCUUCUAUAGUUUAGUGAUUUCGUGAAAUGAGAAAAAUAUUGAAGUUUAGAUGGAGCUGUAACUUGUAAUGGAUGUUAAGUUUGGUUUGAAACAUUUGUAUUUUUCAAUUGUUUCUUUUGUCAUUUGUGUUUUCAUUUAAUUGUUCAUAUGACGUGAAUAUUGUUGAAUUUAAUCAAUUAUAAUUUUAAAAUGAUUAAUAAAUUUUAAUUAAAUAUAAAUUAUUUAAGGAGAAUUAAAUUAUAAUCGAAAUAAUUUUUUAUUGGACUGUAUUAUGUUAAGCUUAAACCCCAAAUUAAUGGAAUCUAUAAUUUAUCUCAAUUUUAUUUUAGAUAUUGUUCGAAUAAAAUUAUUAAUUUUAAAUUAGAAGACACAAAGCCAACUAAACUGAGUUUGAAUUAUUAAAUACAUCUAAUUUGUAAUUUCUCUUUUUCUCUCUUUGAAGUGGACUCUCAAGUACUUUAGGGAAUUCAAUCUGGCUAGACAUUUCAUCUUUGUUUGAUCUUAAGAAUGAGCCAACCGAGACUAUACUUUUCUUUUUUCUUCUUUUGUUAUUUUUCAUCGUGUCCAAUUAAAUUAAAUGAUUGGGCUCAUGUUCAUGUUUUGACACCAUGACAAACAAGGUAGUCAUGAUCAUUGUUGCGAAAUUCCUUGACUCAACAAUAGCUAUAUUUUUUGUUGUCAUUCUCAUAAUUUUAUUUGUUAAAUGUUCAUAUGAAAAUGUUUUUUCAAAUGAUUCACAACAUAUGUGAACCCAUUUUGCAAUUGAGCAAUAGUUUUUCUAUAUUUCAUGUGAAACAAUUCAUAUUCUGCGUAAGUGCGAUAAUUCUACCAUAUUUAACUUCACUUGUACUUCUAAAGUAUUCCACAUUUAUUAGACAAUUUUACAAUUAGAAACUCUAUAAUAUUUGUCUUUUCCACGUAUGAAUGUGAUGAUAUUCUUAGCAUUUCAAUAGGAUUGUAUUUUUUUCUUGUCAAAAUUUUUCCUAGCUAUUUCAAGUUUGUUAAUUGCAACAUCAUCACAUAGUAUUGACAGAACAAAUGGUUCAUUUUCUAUCAUUUUCCAAACGUCUAAAAAUUUUAAAUCACCUAUAAAAAUUGAUGCUCUAUAAUAAACAUCCUUAAGUUCUAUAUUCAGAUUAAAAGCCUUUUUUAUACCUCUUUAAACCGUUGGACUCGUAACACUAAGAGUCCGGUAUCUUAAUAGUCGAGAUAACUCUUUGACUCUAGAAGAAGGUUGAAUAAAGUCCACAAUUUUAUCAGUAAACUUUUGGGAAAAUGUAGUUUUUGUAAAAAACGUAAAAUAGAUGGAAUUCGUAUUGGACAGUUCACUUAGAAAUUCGAAUGAUAUUGCAAUUAAUCACACUAAUUGAAUGAUAAUUUUAAAUACAAAAGAUAUUGCAAUUAAUCAUAUUAGAAAUUACAUCGAUCGAGAAUAAUAUAAUUCAAAAUUGUUAAAAUAAAAAAGGAUGAAUCUGCGACGAAACUCACAACAUUCAGGUUAAUAGCAUAAAAUAACAAAAUGUCUUCUAAAGCGACAAAACCUACAAAUAUGUCAAAAUCGAAGUUUUUUGAAUACACGUGUCAAUGCAGCUGUAAAGUUGACAACACUACAGUUAUUGAUUGAAUUUAAAUUUGCACUUGAUCAAAGUUAAUCUGUCAAUAUAAACCAAACAAACACCACAUCAAGACGAAAAAAAUGAAACAUAUGAAAAACGUUUGUUUCAUUAAAAGGAGAAUAAAAAUAACGAGUUGGAGGGGUAAGAAAACUACGAUAACCUAAAUUUCACAUGUAACUCCAAUUCACAGUUGUUGAUUUCUUUCGAAAAAUAUUUUAUCAAUAAAAAAUUCGAAUCAUGAAAAAACCUAAAAUAUAAUUUUCACUAUCACAUAUUUUUGCAUCAUUCAAAAAUAGAUUAAAAAAAAGCAGAGUUUUGGCUUCGAUCACCAAAAUUCAAAAGUGAUUUUGAAUGACAUAUUUUGUGUAGAUUAUUUUUUAUUGACAAAUAUUAGUAUGUUAUUAAAUUAGUGGAUUGUGUUAAGUUUUGAGAUUGAAUUUUGAAUCUAUAUGUAAUAUUAUUUAUUUAUUAUCUCUUAACUCACCGAUUAAACUAUUGGUUAAAAAUAUCUACAAAGUUUAAAAUUAGGAUAAUCUCCAAAAAAAAAUGGUCUCAUAUUAUGGCAUGUUUCAAAUCUCUGCCAUUAAUUUAUCUCCCGUUUUUCAUAUUCCAAAAUAAUUCCUAGGAAAAGUUAAUGUUUUUUAAUAGAGAAAUAAGUUGGAACUUUUUAUUUAUCUUUUUCCUGCAGAUCAUGAUAGACCCGGACGUUCCUGGCCCAAGUGAUCCUUAUAUGAGAGAACACUUGCACUGGUACUUAUUUAAUAUAUAUCUAGAUGCAUAUUGAUAUAUAAAGCUUGAAAUAUGUUAUUUUUCUUCAUUAUGCUUGAUUUCUUCCAUACCUAUAACCAUAUAUAUUGAAGGUGAGUCAACAAAUCAUUUAUGUUUAUCAUGUAUUUCAUAAAUACGUAAAUAAGAUUUUGUUGAAUGCAUAUAUAUAUGUGUGUGUGUUUAGAUGUUUAGAGGGUAAUGUUUAUUAUGUGGUAUGAUUUAUUUAAUUUAUUUUAGUGUUUUACUUCAUUGGAGUAAGGGUUGGACAUUAUUAGUCUGUUGGUCUGCGAUGAAUUUGAUUUUCUUUUUUUAACUACAAAAUUAUAUUGAUUUACUCUUAAUAUAUUUAAAUUGAGAUAAAUCGAUGAACAAAAUUUAUAAUAUUUAAGUUAAUAAUAUAAAAAAAUAAAAUGUAUAUGAAAAUAAUUAAAUUAAAAUAUUAUAAAUAUUGAUACACUUAUAUCUCUAAAUUUAUAAUAAUAAUAAAGUCAAAAUUAUUGAUUGAAACUAUAAUAAAUUUCUCAAUUUAAACUAAACAAAAACUAUAAUAAAGUUCGAAAUCAAAUUCUUAGUAUCAUUAGAUCUCAUAGCCGCCUUGUCUUGGUCAUGACGACAUCUAGUCAUUAUCAUUAUCUUCACAUAUCUUGCUAUACAUGUCUUGCAAUAUCUAAUACUGUUUCAUAUAUAUUUUAGUUCUAAAAUGCUUAAAAAGUUCCAAUAAAACAUGCUUUAAAAAGUUUAUUUAUUAGACCUAAAUAAAUAUUUUGUUGGACCCAAUUAGACUUUAAAUAAAAUUUUGUAAGAUAAUAAUAAUAAUUGGGAUUAUGGUGUUACACAUUGUUACAAAUUUUGCAGGAUGGUGACUGACAUUCCAGGCACAACAGAUUCCACAUUUGGUAGGUUACAUUAAUUUAUUAAUCUUACUCUAAAAGAUUUCACAUUGAAAAGAAAUUAAUUAACUGACCCCUAUUUGUUUUAUGUCCCCUCCAUAUUUGGGGGGGGUACAUUUAUAUAUAUAGGUAAAGAGUUGACAAGCUAUGAAAUACCAAAGCCUAACAUAGGGAUCCAUAGGUAUGUGUUCGUCCUUUUCAAGCAAAAGAAAAAGCACUCAAUUACUACUCCUUCUUCAAGGGAUCACUUCAACACAAGAAGUUUUUCAAUGCAAAAUGACCUUGGUGUCCCUGUUGCUGCUGCUUAUUUCAAUGCAAGGAGGCCAACUGCUGGUAGAAAACCUACCUAUAUAUAAUAAUAUAUAAUAACAAUAAUAACAACUCUUGAAAUUACAAUUGUUCUUGUUACAAUUGUUCUUGUUAAUUAUCAUCAUGA
rnacentral:lncRNA from 1 species